rnacentral:lncRNA from 1 species
CUUCUAUAUUCAGCUUUUUGAAAAAAAAAAUCAAACGAAAAAAGUGAUCAUAUUUUAUUUAUUGCAGGGUGUCCGAUUGGAUGGGUGUCCUACAAUACAUCUUGUUACCUGUUUGGCUCUGACAAGCUGAACUUCGUUGCAGCACAGGCAUACUGUCAGCUACGUGGAUCUCAUUUGGUCAGUCUGGAAACUACAGACGAAAUUGCAUUCUUGAAAAUGUUCAUGAAGUCUAUCGAAGGAGAAGAAGAAGGCGCGUCUUUCUGGCUUUGACUGACGGAGAAUGUGUCUGACAGCAGUUGGAUUUGGCAGGCAGAUGAUACAAAAGCUACUGUUUUCGACUGGGCCUCCUCAGAACCAAAUGAAGGAAGCAGUGAGGGUUGUGUCUGGUUUUAACAAAUCAGUGGACAGACGUUACUUGCGGUCGAACAACGAGGCCAGUGUGUGUGAGAAAACGAAGAACAUCAUGGAAUGGGAAUAGAGUGUCCUAUGUUUUAAAUACUAACAAUCAGAACAAAAUAUAUAUCUUGUUAUGAGGAGCAGGUUGUUAUGUUAUUGUGUCCUUUGUGCCAUUACACUGCCAUUACACUUUGUUCGAUGUCAGAAAGGAAACUCUGCGAUAUUACUUUUUACUUAACAGGAUUACAUACAAAGUUAAAAUACAGUUUAUCUAUGAAUGUUUUGUCAGAACAAUAACCAACAUUUGAACCAUACCAUAGUACUCAUACUGUGUUAGUUCUUUUAUCAUCUCAUAAUCAACGAAAUACUGCAUGUAUUUACAAAAUAAAUAAUACUGCUUGUUUUAAAGUCUUUUUAUGUUAUCUCUUUUUAAAUGAGUUUCAAUUUUGUAUAUUACUCAUUCGUUAUUUGUUUGCUUGUUGUUAUUUACAGUCUCAAAAUACAGCUUUGCCAUUGGUCCAUUUUAAAACUGAGCUCCGAAUUUAAUAACUAAAACGCUAGCCUGAAAAGUAGCUUUA